rnacentral:lncRNA from 1 species
AUUCCCUGUUUCCAGAGGGCUCUCAGCUCUAUCCCAGGGUAACUCAUCCCCACUUUCCUUGCAGGGGGAGCCAGGAGAACCGAGCUCGCCGGGAUCUUCCGGUGCAGCAGGACUGGAUGGGAAGAACGGGAUCAAGGGAGCCAAAGGGGACAGAGGCCUUCAGGGACAGAAGGGGAAGCCGGGAGGGAAAGGUGACCCUGGGACCGCCGGUGACACCGGGCAGAAAGGGACAAAGGGCCUGCGGGGCCUUCCAGGCCGGACCGGCGCUCCCGGAGCCAAAGGUGCCAAGGGAGAAGUUGGCAGUGCUGGAAAACCAGGAAUUCCAGGAUUUAAUGGACAGCGUGGACCAAAGGGCGAGCCAGGAGCCUCAGGGAGCGACGGCGCCUCGGGAAUUCCUGGGGAGAAAGGAGAAAAGGGAGCCAAGGGAGUUCCAGGAUUGGGAGGAUUCAAGGGACAAGCGGGAUGGCCUGGGAAGCCUGGAGGGGCCGGAGCAGCGGGACCUCGAGGGCCACAGGGAGAGCCAGGCCCACAGGUGAGCACGGNUUUUCCUAAAACCAUCUGGGUUUUAGGAAAAGAAAAAAAAGAAAAAAAAGAAAAGAAAAAAAAAAAGAAAAAAAAAAGAAAAAAAAAGAAAAAAAGAAAAAAAAAAAUCCCAGAUUCCUUCUCAGGAGGAGAAGGAUCUCAUGGAAAGCAGGAAGAUGAGUUGGACAGGAAAACAUGGAAAACCUGGCACUGGAGAUAAUUGGGAUAAUUAAGAGAAGUAUUAAAGCUUAAAUUAAAUUUAAUUUAAAUUAAAUUAGGAGAACUCUAAUUAAUGUCAGGGUUUUUAGUGCAAAAAAUAAUAUUUUUGAGCCAUUCCUGGUCUGAUCCCAGCUCCC